ACCUUGGUAGCUCUGUCAGUAGAGCAUGAGACUCAUCUUAGGGUUGUGGGUUCAAGCCCCAUGUUGGGCA